CAGAUUGCCGCAGUGAGGGCACUGCUGGACGUUGCUGUACUCUGAGAAAUACUGCAUCCCGACUCGGACGUCCACCACCGGCUUGCCGCAGUGCUUACAGUUGAGUCGUGCCUGAGGACAAACAGGAAGUGGACACACAGCCAAUCUACCCACCUGGCAACAAGGUGAAGCAGCCAGUAUAUCGUAGGUGUACAUGGUGCCCAGCUGGUGCCAGCUCCCGUCCCAGCGCGACUUGCAUUUGAUGCAGACGAUCUUGUGGACGCCCUCCAGACAGUCGACGCAGAUGCCGUAAAGGUGCAUCAAUCGACCUGUUGUAAGCCAUACAUGCAAUGAGUUCAGUAAAAAUGAAAAAUGAUUAGACAAAAAAAAAAAAAAAGUUCUUCAAAGUAAUUGGGAGUUAUUAAAAGAGGUAUGAUGUAUGUAGAUCAUAAAAAGAUUUUUUCGUCUUUUAUUUCGUACUUUUUUCAAGUUUUUAAUUUAAUUAUUAAAACUUUAGACCCGGGAAGACUAAACAACACUAGUAUAGGAGAGAGGAUGCCCAGAAUGGAUUUCCAUUAGGGCUGCAACUAACGAUUAUUUUGCCAAUUGAUUAAUCUGUUGACUUUAGAUUAAUCGAUUAAUAAUCAGAGAGCAAAAGGUGCUUAAUAGGAGAUGUUUUACAGAAUUGAAACCAGGUGAAGCUAAAGCUAUGCCACUUGAAGAGUUCUGACGAGAAUAUUUACAGACAAAGAAAGUUUUUCAUCUUCAAUGCAAAAUGUAUGUAUUUUUGUACAUUUCUGGCCUAAUUACUGAUCUAAGUGAGUUUCAAUAAUCGAUUAAUCACGAUUAAUUGUUUUGGCCCUAACUCCCAUGAUGCUAUAUUUUCAUGAAGACGUGAUUUUAUUUCCUAAAAAGUUGAAAUUUUCCAUCUCUAAAUGUUUAAAGUACCCAAUUUAGAAAGAGGCGAGUAAAUAUAUAAGAUAAACCAGAUCAAGCGAGUUCAGGAGUUGGUGAAGCAGUAUGAAAGCGAUGGUAUUUCAGCCAUUAAAUCUUUCUGGGAGCCAUGUGAGUGUUUUAGAGCUGAAUUCUAUCUUGCUUCAAAUGUUAAAAUAUAGCAACAUUAUUCAUAUAACCACUAAUGGUCGUAGUUUAAUUACACAAUGUUAAAUUUGUAGGACACAUUUCACACUUCUCCUUUGGUUCCACAGAUAGAAGGGUAAAAAAUAAACCCUGAAUAAAUAACCCUUCCAUACUUCUGCAUAUCAAAUCUGGAGGAUCAGCACAUCAAAGAAGCUCCAUGCUACAGCUGCACUGAUUCACAUUCAUGUUGGGUUGUUCAGAAGUUGGCAGAAAAUCCUUUAUGUCCUCACACAUGGAUGGCCUGAUGGAUUUAUUUAGACAAAUCUGUGGCAUUUAUCUGAAUACAUGUUUUUGUAGCUAGUCAGCUGGGUUCCUGUCUAACAAAGAGAUAAGUAUUUGAUAUCUGGCUCUUUAGUUUUUAGGAAAAACAUUGGUUUGCAUCCAAGUGGCCUCACUGCCAAGAAUUUGGCAUCUGAAAGAACAGUAGACCAUCAAAAUCACACCAUCAACUGUGCUGAAGAAGCCUCCAGGACGUCUUAAGACUCUCCAUUAAGCCUUAGGGCCAUCUCUUCCUAGGAAAUUAGGUUGCCACCAGUGCAGAGCUUGCUUUCGGGACAAGAGGAGCAGCAAAGAAGCCACUUCUAAGAGAAAAAUGAAACAGACAGAUUCUACAGGAAGUACUAGGACGGACAUUGAACAGCUGGUGCCAUUUUCUUCUUCUCUAAUGAAUACUGCUUCUUAUUGUUUGAGCGUUAACGUGCGUUCUGUGUGGGUCCGAAAGCGAAACGUCCCAUUGCAACCUGUGUGUGGUGCUGCUUCUUUGCCUCAUUCAAAGGGAAAUGGCUUCUUCCCAGUUUUGCCAAAGGAUACUGCCAUGAAUAAAAAGUUAAUCAAAGCAUCUUGCAUUAAAAGAUCCUUCCAAUGAUCCAGGCAUAAUUUGAUGAUAAUCCAUGCAUUUUUCAGCCAAAUGAUUGAGCAACAUCUCAUAAAGCAAAAUUGAAAAGGAAUUUGAAAAACAAUCAUACUAAUAAGACUUUGGACCUAUGGCCAAGAAACUCCCCAGAUCUUAAAACAUUAGGACCUGUGCACAGUUCAUGAAAAAUGGAUGAUCAACAGAAGCCAGCAAAGACACUUUAACAAUUUAAAUAUGGACCCUGUGUAGUUUACAUGCCAUUUAAAAAAUAAAUGUGUUUUUUCUUUAAUAUGCUAAUAAAAUACAUAAUAAACUUC